UUUGAAGGCCCAGGUGAAUUGAGAGGAGAUAUUGAUUUUCUUUUAUCCAUGCGGUACUCAGGGAUUACCGAUUUUCUCAUUUAUUUUUAAAGACUAUCUUUCAUGAGGCUUUUUCCCUCCCUUUCUUCUCUUCUGGUUACCUACUAUUCUUUUUUUCUUAACAGCAUUUGUACCCAUUCUCGUCCCAUAUCUGAAUCCCUCCUUGACCCUGAAAAUUGUAAUUCUGCUAUAGAUCAGAGCUGCUGAAUAAUAGCUUUUACAAAACUGCUUAAAUAAAAUAUGUUCAAAUCGCUGAAGUCCCAAAGGCCUUGAAAGAAACUCUAAUGAGAGGCUUGAAGAAGAAGAGAAAGGACAUAGGAGGAAAAGAGGGACUAGUUGCGCUGCAUUGUGAGGACAUGAAUCAUCCGCAACACCUGUUCAGAACAUACAGCACAGAGCUGGAGGGGACGCGUUCGCCCACUGUGAUAUGCUAACGGUUCACUAAAUACACGGCACUAAAGUGGGACGUGCCGAAAGGAAGAUAAAUAAUAGUUUAUAGACACGAUCUUUUAAAAUGUGCACUUGAAGGAACUAAAGGAGAAAAACAGCGAAAUGUUGUAGAUUAAAUAUGACAGACUCAGGGCAGCCAAAUUAACCUUUCAGACAAAGGCAAGAAAACCUCUCAGCCUCUCAGAGGCUUGUUACAAAUAUUUUUUAUAGGCACAGUGAAUAAUUUUCCACUGCAUUAUGAUCCAACUUGAGAUAUCAAACAUCAAAUCAUCGUUUAUAGGAUGUAUACAUGCAUAAUAAAUGAUAUCUUCACAUCAGGAAAACUGAGAAUUCUACAAUAUUAUGCAAGUGCAAUUCAAUUGUAUUUGUAUAGCGCUUUUAACAAUGGACAUUGUCUCAAAGCAGCUUUACAGAAACAUAUAAACACAGGAUACAGAUUUUAAAUGUGUGAAUUUAUCUCUGUUGAGCAAGCCAGUGGUGACGGUGGCAAGAAAAUCUCCUUAAGAUGAUAUGAGGAAGAAACCUUGAGAGGAACCAGACUCAGAAGGGAACCCGUCCUCAUCUGGGUAACAACGGAUAAUGUGAAAGUAAAAGAAAGUUCAUUAUGGUUUUAUAUGAAGUCUGUUUUGUUGAACUAGACGCAUGUCUGUGAAACACAUGUUAUCCGAUCAUUAUCUUUAAUUGCUCUCUCAAACUGCCUAAACAUGAAUAUAUACCAUAUUAUUGUUUCAGCAGGACUCACAUGACCAGGGAUCAUUACAGAUUAGAGAUGACAGGACUUCCUCAACCAACAUGGGUAAUUAUUUUUUACCAGGACACUUAAUAAUUUACCUUGCUUCUGCCAUUAUUCAUUCAUUACUGUGCCGUUUUUGACUAUCUAAUCAUUGUGGUAUAUGUUUUACAUUUAAUUUUACAUUUAUUAACAAAUGUGGGCAUAGUGACAUAGUUUAUCGAUUUUACAUACUAAGACCAGAAUAAUGAUGAAUGUAAAGUCAUGAAUGAUUUAUCAUUGCUAAUUUCCAUAUGCUAUAUUUUGGUGGUGUGGGGGGUUUGGGGUGUUAGGAUAGAGGGGCUUCCUGCCUCCCCCUGUGGCCAAGCUGCAGCGAUGAAAAACUAACAGGAAACAACACCUCUUAUGCACCGGGGCAAAUACAAGCGCUGAGAAGGUGAAAGCACUUGGCUCUUAUGAAGAUUUCCUCCCAACCCCAAUUACCACAGAUUCACACUUCGCACAGGCACAAGGAGGAACUCCAAGAGCAGUAGUGAGAGGCUCGGACGAGCAUAUGGAAGCCCAGGCGUUGAGUCGGCCUACAGCAGUUGUGAUCUGCAGGAGGAGAUGAAAUAUUGAGCGUGCUCCGAGCUACAGACGGAGGCAGCAGUGCUCCGCUCAGCCCAGCUCUCUGCUUAGCCUCCUGAUAGAGCAAUACACUCCUCUCACCAAGCUCAGCACACCGCUGAACCCUCUGCCAUGCUCACUUAACGUGCACCCCCAUCUCUCUCUCUUUCUUUCUCUCACUCUCUCUCUUUUAAUCAGACCGAUGUUCACGCUACACUUCUGUGAGCUGGACUCAGUUUAGUACAGCUGAAAGAGCACAUCAGCUUGUGCUGCCCCCUCUGAGGGCUGAUAAUAUGGCUCCUUUUACCUGUUAAGAGCUAGUGAGGCGUCCCAGCUCGGUUUAAAUGAACUUCAGAGAGACAGGACUGACAGAAACACACAGAGAGCUCACCUCUUUGACUGGCGGCUCUCAGAUGCACUUCCUUUCUCUUUUUUCCAGUUGCUGACUCCUUGACUUUUAUGGGCUCUUAAUGGUACAGUUAUGACCCAAACACACCAGCUUUAGUCCACAUGCUUACACAACUGGGUAGACAGACCAACAGGUGGAACACUAACAUGAUUGUGUACGCUUUAUUAUUCUUAAUAUUUCUUUGCAUCAUCAUAUCUUAUUAUAAUAUCUUAUCAUUAUUUCCACCAUUAGCUGAGAAUUGCUUUCACAAUAUAUUGCUCUGGGAGAACAGAGAUGGUGAG
ensembl:lncRNA